rnacentral:rRNA from 1 species
CAGUCGCCGCGGGAAUACGUAGGGUGCGAGCGUUGUCCGGAAUUACUGGGCGUAAAGAGUUCGUAGGCGGUUUGUCGCGUCGUUCGUGAAAACUUGGGGCUUAACUCUAAGCGUGCGGGCGAUACGGGCAGACUUGAGUACUACAGGGGAGACUGGAAUUCCUGGUGUAGCGGUGAAAUGCGCAGAUAUCAGGAGGAACACCGGUGGCGAAGGCGGGUCUCUGGGUAGUAACUGACGCUGAGGAACGAAAGCGUGGGUAGCGAACAGGAUUAGAUACCCGUGUAGUCCCUGUCUCUUAUAA